AACGAACGCUGGCGGCGCGCUUAACACAUGCAAGUCGAACGAGAAGGCGUAGCAAUACGCUUGUACAGUGGCGAACGGGUGAGUAAUACGUGGGCGACCUACCCUCGAGUGGGGAAUAACCCGCCGAAAGGCGGGCUAAUGCCGCGUACGCUUCCAUCUUUAUGGAGGUGGAAGGAAAGCCGUGCCGUGGGCACGGCGCUCAAGGAUGGGCUCACGUCCUAUCAGCUUGUUGGAGGGUAACGGCCUACCAAGGCUCCGACGGGUAGCUGGUCUGAGAGGACGAUCAGCCACACUGGCACUGCGACACGGGGCCAGACUCCUACGGGAGGCAGCAGUGAGGAAUAUUGCGCAAUGGGCGAAAGCCUGACGCAGCGACGCCGC
rnacentral:rRNA from 1 species